UGGCUCAGGACGAACGCUGGCGGCGUGCUUUACACAUGCAAGUCGAACGAUGAUGCCCAGCUUGCUGGGUUGAUUAGUGGCGAACGGGUGAGUAACACGUGAGUAACCUGCCCCUGACUUCGGGAUAAGCGCUGGAAACGGCGUCUAAUACCGGAUAUGAGCUGUCCUCGCAUGGGGAUGGUUGGAAAGUUUUUCGGUUGGGGAUGGGCUCGCGGCCUAUCAGCUUGUUGGUGGGGUGAUGGCCUACCAAGGCGACGACGGGUAGCCGGCCUGAGAGGGCGACCGGCCACACUGGGACUGAGACACGGCCCAGACUCCUACGGGAGGCAGCAGUGGGGAAUAUUGCACAAUGGGCGAAAGCCUGAUGCAGCGACGCCGCGUGAGGGAUGACGGCCUUCGGGUUGUAAACCUCUUUCAGUAGGGAAGAAGCGAAAGUGACGGUACCUGCAGAAGAAGCGCCGGCUAACUACGUGCCAGCAGCCGCGGUAAUACGUAGGGCGCAAGCGUUGUCCGGAAUUAUUGGGCGUAAAGAGCUCGUAGGCGGUUUGUCGCGUCUGGUGUGAAAACUCGAGGCUCAACCUCGAGCUUGCAUCGGGUACGGGCAGACUAGAGUGUGGUAGGGGUGACUGGAAUUCCUGGUGUAGCGGUGGAAUGCGCAGAUAUCAGGAGGAACACCGAUGGCGAAGGCAGGUCACUGGGCCACUACUGACGCUGAGGAGCGAAAGCAUGGGGAGCGAACAGGAUUAGAUACCCUGGUAGUCCAUGCCGUAAACGUUGGGCACUAGGUGUGGGGCUCAUUCCACGAGUUCCGUGCCGCAGCUAACGCAUUAA
rnacentral:rRNA from 1 species